UUUCUGAAUAUUCCCAUUGAAAGAACCUAGUGGGGAAACCCCCACUCAACUCCCGAUUCGGCAUGCACCCAAGAAUCACGAAUAGAACA
rnacentral:pre_miRNA from 7 species